rnacentral:rRNA from 1 species
UACGUAGGGUGCAAGCGUUAAUCGGAAUUACUGGGCGUAAAGCGUGCGCAGGCGGUUAUGCAUGACAGAGGUGAAAUCCCCGGGCUCAACCUGGGAACUGCCUUUGUGACUGCAUAGCUAGAGUACGGCAGAGGGGGAUGGAAUUCCGCGUGUAGCAGUGAAAUGCGUAGAUAUGCGGAGGAAAACCGAUGGCGAAGGCAAUCCCCUGGGCCUGUACUGACGCUCAUGCACGAAAGCGUGGGGAGCAAACAGG